UAAUUUUCUAAUUUAUUCAAUAUUUUUAUACCAAAUUUAUAGUGACUCUCUUGCAAAUGUCUUUUCUUUACCUACACAAUUAGUGAUAAGAUUCUCUCUUUAGGCUGAUAAAUAUCAUGUGUUGUAUUAAUGAACUUUCUUAUAAUGAAUGACUUUACAUCUAGGAAUAAAUACUACUUUGCUGUGAUUUAUACUCUGUAAUGUGCUGUUAGAUCCUGUAUACUUACAUUUUUUUAUGAUUCUGACGUUGAUAUUCAUGAGUGAAACUGAGCUUUAGUUUUUAAUGUAACUUUUGUCAGAUUUUGAAAUUGAUGUCAUAUGCACUCAGCACAAUGUAGUUGAGAUUUUCCUUUCUUAUAAUGCUCUGUAACAGUGUAAGUAGUAAGGUGAUGAUCUGAUUGGUAAAGCUUUAUAAAAUUUUUCUGUGAACCUGAAACUGCUGGGUUUUGUUGGUUUUGUUUGUUUGUUUGUUUGUUCUUUCAAUGCAGGGGCUAUUUUACUAUUUUCUAUAUUGUUUUUCUAACUUAAUUGCCUUGUCUAGAUUUUCUGCCUCAAAUUGGGAUAAUUUUGUUUUACUUCUUUUUUCUGCUCCUUGAAUGUCAGUGCUUCCUAAUGAUAAAUCUGUCAUGAGUAACUUCAUGCAUACUGGAGAAGUGUCUUCCACAUCAAGCCUAGUCAAAUUCAACUCUACCUAUCUGUUAAGAGGGCAGAGGGGGAUCAGAGAGAGAAAGCGAGAAGAGAGAAAAAGAAAAGCAAAAGGAGGUAAUAAAUAAAAGUGUGCCCUCCUGGAUUUUAUGGCUUGAAUUAUGCUCACAUCUAUGACUGCAAAAAAUGGAGCUAGUUGUGAUGCAGCAAGGGAACAGUGCAUUUGCCCAGCAGGUGUCCACAGCAGCCGAUGUGAAAAAGUGUUCACCUGGCAUGUUUGGAGACGCUUGCCAUCAACUUUGUGACUGUGAAGGAGAAAACUUCUGCCACCCAAAAACUGAAAAAUGCCUCUGCCCCCCUGGGAGAACUGAGUCAGAUGUGAUGCUGGUAAGUCUCCUGUAUUGGGCAUUCAGCGUGAGCGUUGCCUUUCUCUGACCUCGAGACAACUAGCCAACUUUCCCUGUGUCCUUCACAAUGCAACCACUAAAGCUCUACUGAAUACUCUGAUUCUGAGAAGGCACCUUAAAAAUAAUCAUUCUUCAAAAGUGAGGGAGACAUGAGCACAUUCUCAGACAAAUAAAAAGGAAAAUUACAUUGGUCCAGAAACUUGGAACUACAUCAAUAAAGGGAAAACACUGGAGGAGAAAUAAAUGAAGAUUCCACUUGUUUAUCGCUGAGAUACAGAAAAGUGAUGGACUUGGCAGGAUGCAGUGGCUCACACCUGUAAUCCUAGCACUUUGGGAGGCCAAGGUGGGUGGAUUGC